GCACGGAGUUAGCCGGGGCUUCUUCUCUCGGUACCGUCACUCCCCCGGGCUGUUUACCCGGAGGCCAUUCGUCUCGAUCGAAAGGAGUUUACGACCCGAAGGUCUUCAUCCUCCACGCGGCGUUGCGUCGUCAGGCUUGCGCCCAUUGCGAACAAUUCCCCACUGCUGCCUCCCGUAGGAGUCUGGGCCGUGUCUCAGUCCCAGUGUGUCCGUCCGCCCUCUCAGGCCGGAUACUGAUCGAUGCCUUGGUGAGCCAUUACCCCACCAACUAGCUAAUCAGACGCGGGCCCCUCGUCAAGCGCCUGGCCUUGCGGUCCCAAGCUUUGAUGUCCACCUCUUAAAAGGCGGCAUAUUAUGCGGUAUUAGCCUCCCUUUCGGAACGUUAUCCCCCACUCGAAGGCAGGUCACCCACGCGUUACUCACCCGUUUGCCACUCUACUCAUCCCUUGCGGGACUUUCGCGUUCGACUUGCAUGUGUUAGGCACGCCGCCAGCGUUGAUU
rnacentral:rRNA from 1 species